GGGAUUGCCCCAGUAACGGCGAGUGAAGCGGCAACAGCUCAAAUUUGAAAUCUGGCCCCCAGGGCCCGAGUUGUAAUUUGCAGAGGAUGCUUUUGGCGCGGUGCCUUCCGAGUUCCCUGGAACGGGACGCCAUAGAGGGUGAGAGCCCCGUCUGGUCGGACACCAAGCCAGUGUAAAGCUCCUUCGACGAGUCGAGUAGUUUGGGAAUGCUGCUCUAAAUGGGAGGUAUAUGUCUUCUAAAGCUAAAUACCGGCCAGAGACCGAUAGCGCACAAGUAGAGUGAUCGAAAGAUGAAAAGCACUUUGAAAAGAGGGUUAAACAGUACGUGAAAUUGUUGAAAGGGAAGCGUUUAUGACCAGACUUGGGCCCGGUGAAUCAUCCAGCGUUCUCGCUGGUGCACUUUGCCGGGCUCAGGCCAGCAUCAGUUCGCCGCGGGGGAUAAAGGCUUCGGGAACGUGGCUCCCUCGGGAGUGUUAUAGCCCGUUGCGUAAUACCCUGUGGCGGACUGAGGUUCGCGCUCCGCAAGGAUGCUGGCGUAAUGGUCAUCAGCGA
rnacentral:rRNA from 1 species